rnacentral:misc_RNA from 1 species
GAUGGAAGAACGUAGCGAAAUGCGAUAAGUAGUGUGAAUUGCAGAAUUCAGUGAAUCAUCGAAUCUUUGAACGCACAUUGCGCCCCUUGGUAUUCCAUGGGGCAUGCCUGUUCGAGCGUCAUUUGUACUCUCAAGCUAAGCUUGGUGUUGGGUGUUUGUCCACUCCCUCGUGUUUGGACUCGCCUUAAAACAAUUGGCAGCCAGUGUUUUGGUAUUGAAGCGCAGCACAAUUUGCGAUUCUAGCCUAGAAUACUAGCAUCCAUCAAGUCAUUUUUAACGCUUGACCUCGGAUCAGGUAGGGAUACCCGCUGAACUUAAGCAUAUCAAUAAGCGGAGGA